GACGAACGCUGGCGGCGUGCUUAACACAUGCAAGUCGAACGGAAAGGCCCUGCUUUCAGGGUACUCGAGUGGCGAACGGGUGGGUAAGACGUGGGUGAACUGCCCUGCACUUCGGGAUAGGCCUGGUAAACUGGGUCUAGUACCGGAUAGGAGCCAUUUUGAGUGUGAUGGUUGGAAAGUUUUUUCGGUUUAGGAUGAGCUCGCGGCCUAUCAGCUUGUUGGUGUGGUAAUGUCCUACCAAGGCGGCGGCGGGUAGCCGCCCUGUGAGGGUGGACGGCGACACUGGCUCCUAGAUACGGCCCCGGCACCUAAGGGAGCGCGAUGUGCGGAAGCCUGAACGAGCGGCGCCACCUUGAUGAAGAGGGGCCGCGUGGCGGAUGACGCUCUUAUGGUUGAAAAAUCAUUUCGCUAGGGACGAAGCUUUUUGUGACGGUACCUAGAUAAGAAGCCCCGGCUAACUACGUG
rnacentral:rRNA from 1 species